rnacentral:lncRNA from 1 species
CUUGUCGUCUCGCAAAAUUAGGUGUCAUGUGCUUCAGAUCACUACGAGGGUUAAACAGCGAUGUAACGCCCUCGAUGCGGUUAUAUCUCCCACGUGUCGAAGCACGACUUAGAGGCAUAACCACAUUGAAAGCAAUGUCGCAAGUGAGGUAAUCUUCACACAACCCAUGUAAUACAUAAGGGAAAGAGAUACAUAGUUGGCUUACAAUCGCCACUUCACACAAUACAUGAAUAAAGCAUUACAACAUCCAAAUACAAUCAAGGUCCGACUACGGAACCAAAAUAAAAGAAGAACCCCAAAUGCGACAAAGGUCCCCGAUCGACCCCAACUGGGCUCCACUACUGAUCAACUAGAACGAAACAACACAAAGGACAAGAUCUUCAUCAAGCUCCUCCUGAGCUUGGUUGCGUCAUCUGCUCGGACUCAUCGGCACCUGCAAACUGGUUUUGGAAGUAUCUAUGAGUCACGGGGACUCAGCAGUCUCACACCCUCGCGAUCAAGACUAUUUAAGCUUAUGGGUAAGGUAAAGGUAUGAGGUCGAGCUGCAGCAAGCGAAUAGCAUAUAUGGUGGCUAACAUAUUCGCAAAAGAGAGCGAGAAGAGAAGGCAAAGCGCGGUCGAGAAGCUAUGAUCAAGAAGUGAUCCUAAAACAACCUACGUCAAGCAUAACUCCAACACCGUGUUCACUUCCCGGACUCCGCCGGAAAGAGACCAUCACGGUUACACACGCGGUUGAUUCAUUUUAAUUAAGUUAAGGUUCAAGUUAUCUACAACCGGACAUUAACAAAUUCCCAUCUGCCCAUAACCGCGGGCAUGGCUUUCGAAAGUUCUAAUCCCUGCAGGGGUGUCCCAACUUAGCCCAUGACAAGCUCUCACGGUCAACGAAGGAAUAGACCUCCUCCCGAGACAUUCCGAUCAGACUCGGUAUCCCGGUACUCCAAGACAUCCUCGUCAAUGGUAAAACAAGUCCAGCAAAGCAGCCCGAUGCGCCGACAUCCUGAUGGGAGCUGCACAUAUCUCGUUCUCAGGGCAACACCAGAUAGGUCAAGCUACGAGUAAAACCAACCCUCAAGUUUCACCGAGCUGGCCCCGCAGGCUGCCCAUUUCGGACCAACACUUAGACAAGCACUGGCCCGGGGGGGUUAAAAUAAGAUGACCCUCGGGAUGCGUGACUCCCAAGGGAAAAAGGCUAGGUGGCGAAUGGUAAAACCAAGGUUGGGCCUUGCUGGAGGAGUUUUAUUCAAAGCGAACUGUCAAGGGGUUCCCAUUAUAACCCAACCGCGUGAGGAACGCAAAAUCCGGGAACAUAACACCGAUAUGACGGAAACUAGGGCGGCAAGAGUGGAACAAAACACCAGGCAUAAGGCCGAGCCUUCCACCCUUUACCAAGUAUAUAGAUGCAUUAAUUAAAUAAGAUAUAUCGUGAUAUCCCAACAAAAUAUCCAUGUUCCAACAUGGAACAAGCUUCAAUCUUCACCUGCAACUAACAACGCUAUAAGAGGGGCUGAGCAAAGCGGUAACAUAGCCAAACAACGGUUUGCUAGGACAAGGUGGGUUAGAGGCUCGGUUUAACAAUAAGGGAGGCAUGAUAAGCAAGUGGUCGGUAUCGCAGCAUAGGCAUAGCAAAAGAGUGAGCAACUAGCAAGCAAAGAUAGAAGUGAUUUCGAGGGUAUGGUCAUCUUGCCUGAAAUCCCGCAAGGAAGAAGAACAAGUCCAUGAAGAAGUCAAACGGUUGUAGUCGAACGGUUCCUCACAACGCGACGUUAUCGGAACCAACCCGAAGAAACAACACUGGAAAGGAGCAAACAACAUAGUAAACAACCAACACAUGAACAUGGUAUGAUGCACAACCAAGUAUGAUGCAUGACCGGUUUAAUGAAGCAUGGCAUGGCAAAGUGCACAAGCAAUCCUACAAAUUAAGUGGAGCUCAAUAUGCAACGCGUUGCAUAUUGGCGAAACUCCACAUUCAAGUUAUUUAGUUCGAUCUCGUUUAUGUACCCAACAAGAUUAAAUGUUGAUAAACAUGGAAAGGGGUGAAGCACAACAAAACUACCUAUCUAGGCAAGUUCAAAUGAGGCCGGAAACAACGAACAACAAUUUCCGGAAACUCCUCAUAUGCAUAUAUUAGGUUCGGUAUUGUUCUGCCCUAAACUCAAUUUUAGGGUGGUUAAACAUGCAAGAUGAUGCCACCAUGUUAUACUAGGCAAAAUUCUACCCCAUUUACAUAUAAAGUUUGUUAGGUUUGGAGCUACGGUUGAAUAGUUAUGAAUUAAAUCAUUUUAACAUGGCAUAGGAGCAAAUUUAACCAAACAUCAUUUUAAAUAUUUUAAACAUAGAUGAAAAUGACAUAUUAUGAAACUAGACACAAUUUUAAGCAUUUUUCAUAUAUAAUGUUUUAACAUAUGAUGCACGGUUGUUGAGUUAUUAUAUGCAUGAAACAGGAGGGUUUUUCUGUAAAAACUGGUGUCUCUGGAAAAAGCUAAAAUUGCAGUCAGUGAAAAAAACAACAACGGGCCAAAAUCUGCUGGCCCAACCGGAGAAAAAAGAACACAAGGAGGGGCGCUGGAGGGGCGGCUCACCCAUGGGCUUCAGCCCAUGAGGAGGGAAGAGGCAGGACGAGGCUGGGCCGGUGGAGAUGGGCUUGGACGCGGUCGGGCCUAGGGGCGACGCUCCCCUCGUCGUCUCCUUCCUUCGACUGCAGGAGGCAGGAGGCCGUGGCGGUCAACGACGGCAGGGGAGGGUCUCCGGCGAUGCGGGCACGGUAGGGAUCGGCGGGAACGGACGGAUCCAGAGGAGAGGGUGCCGGAUCUGUCCUCGGAGGAGCUCCAAACAGCGUCGGGAGCGGAUCGGGGCAGCGGCGUGCUUCCUGUCGAAGUACAGAGAGAGAGAGAUGAGGAGAGAUCGAGAGAGAGAGAGAGAGAAAAGCAGAGCCAGGGAGACAGGCAGGCGCGAGCUCACCGGGACGGCGGCGCUCCGGCGCGGUGCUCGCCGAUGGUGGCGAGGCAGCAGGGUUCGAGGGGCAGCGCGGUGGAGGCGCUCGUGAGGUCGGGCGGCGGAGCGCGGGCCCGGUGCGGUCCGAUUCGGCCCCGGGGCGGGCCGGAUCUGGGCCCCGGGCGGCGGCGGCGAAGUGGGGUGCUGGCGGCGGUGACGUGGCGCCCCGCGGUUGGCUCGGGCGGGCGGCGAUGCUGAUGUGUCGUGACGUGAUUCGUCGGAGUAAGGUGGCUAGAGACGUUGGACACGUCGGUCCAGGACGGACAUGUCCGGCGGCGCGGUGGGAGGUGGAAGACUAGGGUUUCGUCC